rnacentral:tRNA from 1 species
GCCGUUGUAGCUCAAGUAGAGCGCCGCCCAUUUAAGGCGGGUCAACACUGAUGAUACACGAGAAAAGUUCCCCUCGCCUAUCAAGCGGGAGAAGAACGCUUUCGUGGUGCUGGUUCAAACCCGGCCAACGGCU